rnacentral:lncRNA from 1 species
GAGCCACCGCACCUGGCCAACAUGAUUUAUUAUUGACAACCUUUUUGCACCCAGUCAGCUUGAAGAGUUUCAAAUGGACCCUACCACUGAGAAAUCAAGAUGGCAGUCUACUAUGGGGAAUUGAGGAAAAAUGGAUUAAUACAAGAGUCCUGUGAUAAUAUACAACCAAGACAGGGUUCUUUUAACAUGGAUUCCAUGCAGUGAAUGAAGACAUAGGUUUCUUACCCAACACAAAUGGACAGUGGAUUUGACUUUCUAAAGACUUUUUUUGUGGACAUUUUGACAUUUGGAGAAGAAAGAUGGCACACUAACCCAGAUAAUAGUUUUUAUGCCUGGAAUUUUUUGCAGUUUGAUUUGUAUGCGUAUGACCUCUUGAAAUGUUAAUUUUUAAUAAAAUUUGUAACACUUAAAAAUUUCUCAGUUUGGGUUUUUUUUUUUAAGUGGAAGUUUAAUUAAAUGUUUAGUUUUAUUUUAGUAAUACUUUGGCCUUUGUAGUUGCCGAGUGGUAAAGUGUACUGAAUAUGAAUAAAGCUGGUAAAUUGGAAAUGGUGUAAUCGAAAACAUUUUACUUGGUUUAUGAAGAUUUACGUUUUUCACAAAGUUGUGCUCUUAGAUGGUCAUUUGGUUUAAAUACUGUUUUGUUUGUGCUUUCAUGAAACACCUUUCAAAACAACUCAAUGGGUAAUAAUAGAAUCUGAUUUUAAUCUGCCACAAGAUUUUAAUGAACUUGAAACAAACUGCUUGUUGCUCGAAAAUUCAGGAUGAGUGAUACACAUAUACUUCUGAAUUAUUUUGUGUUGAUUGAAAUGGUUUCUUAAGCUUUUUAAUACUAUAAAUACAUCUUGCUAUAGAAUAUUCAUCUGAAUAUUUAAAUUAAUGUCUCCUAUUGUCUUACUAUUAGAGGAAGAAGUGUUGGAUUUAUGGGUUAGGGUCCUUGGAGUAUUCACAAUUUUUUAAAUUUGAAAUUAUGUGUGUAAUCCAUUUUAUAUAACUUUGAAGUAGGAUUAAUAUCUUGUAUCGUCUUUAUUUUGUACAAUUGGGGAUUUAGAAUAAAUGAAUUGCACCCUGCCAUAGAUUACUUACGUUUGAUUUUUAAAUGCCAGGUUUUCAUUUAUUACUAAUCAACUGAUACCAGUUUUGGUAACUAUUACAAAGGUGGUAGGCAUUAUUUUGGUAGACAAAAUGAGUUCUUGAUUCUGUUUUCCCAUUUUACAUGAGAAGAAUAAAUAGUUCAGGUUAAAUUGUUUUGUGUUAAUCAUACUGUUUGUGAUUCAUGUCAAAUACUGCAGCAUACACAUCCAUGGUUAAUACACGAGCACCAUUUGUUAUUGACUGAUGUGAGGUGGUUGGUCUUUGUUAAAUUCAAAAAUGGAAUUUUGGAUAUUGUUCUUGCUACGAAAUUUAUCUUUGUGUGUAGAGUAUGGAAUUGAAACAGUUUGGAUUAUGGAUUUUACCUAGAUUGGACAUUGUUGAUUUUGUUUGGUGUAAAUCUAAAGUGGAUUUCUUCAGUGAGGGAGAGACAUGGUUCUGGCAGAUUAUGUUGAAUAAGGAAAGUUGAUUGGAUUUUUUUGGGUGUGUGAAUAUGCUUGUCUGAAUGGAGUGCUUGGUAGGAUAUUGUUUCUGGAAUUAGUAAUUUGUUUCUGUGGAUCUCAUGGUUUUGAUAUUUAGGAGAAUUUGCUUUGUGACAUUACUUUGAUAAUUUGCAAUCACGUAUGUCCUAUUGUUAAUAACAUUGUUGAAAUGGGUGUAUACUUACUUGAUUUGAAAUAUAAGGGAAGUGUUGGGAUAUGUGUUUUCUGUUGGAUUUGGACGUGGAGUUUCUUGGGUUACUGAUUUAAAGGUGAUCGUGUUUGGACCAUACUCUUGAAUUUUUGCCUGAAUCAGUAUGGGAAGUAAAUAUAUUGUGAUUAUGAGAAGUUUCUUUGGGGGGAGGAGUGUAAUAUUUUCAAGGUUAUAUAAUGGGUUAAAGAAUUUUGUGAAAGAACAAAGAAAAAUGGAUAUUCUUGAAUAAAAAUUGGUUGCAUUAACUUUUGCUCCAGUGCAACUUGAACACUAGGGAGGCGCUCUUGAGUUGUAAAAGUUACCCCUUUCUUCCAGUGGAGAUGGAAAAUUCCCCCUUAAAUUUUGUCUUUAGAUUAUUUUUAGGCAUCAUAAAGAAGGAAAAACUUGAAUUUAUAUUAUGAAAUUAAGGUUUUAC